UCCACCUUGUUUUCUUCAAGAGCAACACAGGAAGAUUAAGUCGGACACACUCCUCAGGUGAAUCAAACAGUGUCAGCAAAUCUCUUGGACUGAGAAGUCAGACUUUACACCAUGCUUUGCAUAUCUUUUUCACAUAAAGAUCAGAUACUUACCAAAAAAAGUUAUUUUCAGGUAGAGUGUCUGCAUUUUUGCCAGGACCAGCCUGGACCAGCCUGGACCACGAUCCUCCUACCUAUGGCUUCCUGCAUAUCUAAGAACACAGGACUGCACAUUCAGGAGAACAUCUGACGUGAGUCUCUACUGUGAUUUUGACCCUGAGUCCCUGCAACCGAACACUUCAUGAUCAUGGCACAGGAAGACACUUUUUCUUUAACAUUCCUUGAAAUAUUGCAACAGCUGCCAAAAAGAGUCCUGUCAUACUGAAGGAUUUCCAGAAAUUUGAUCAGAUGGAUUAUUUCAAUGAGUGAUUCAAUGAAACAUGCUCCUGGUAACAGAGCAGGCCAUCAGUAGAUAUGUGUGUUACCAAGCUUCAGUUAUGAAUGGGAAAUGAAUGUCCAACGGAUCACUCAUGAAUCUGGAUUUUCCAAGCACCAUCACUCAGACAGCUUCUCAAUACUCAGUGGUCUCAACUAACAUGUAGUCCCACAUUUUCUCAUCUGUGAACAAAAUAUGUCAGAAUCCUGGAUGCUGGAAAGUAGAUUACAGCUAUAUAGCUUCUAACAUGGCCUUGGACUCAUUGCUACAUAAAUUUGAAACUGAGAUGCAUAAAAGGUCUGAUGUCAGAAUCAAGGUUUUUUACUUGUCAAUAGACAUUUUCUGUUACAAGAUCUAGGAAUAAUGGACAAAAUGCAAUAUUAUAAUAGUUAUUUAUAUUGUCAGAAAAAUGUACCCUCCCUCCAAAAAAAAGCAUGAAUUCAGUAGAAGCACAGUCCUUUUUAUUACUGUGACUUUUAAUAUUUGGCAAUGUAAUAUGUGGAGACCCAUAAAAAAAGCAGUUAUAAAAUCCUGAAAAAUUACUAUAUUUCACCAG